CCUAAGCAAAUGAUUGACAGCUGAGUGCGAUAUGUUUUCAAUGUGUGUGCCUCCGUCACCGAGGGGGUGGCUGCAUCUAUUAUACCACCCCACGGACUGCUGACGGUUUCCUCCGUGUGUGUUUGUGUGCAUGCAUGAUAACGCGAAUAUGCUACUCCCCCCACAAGUUCCUCUCUUAAAACGAAGCAUUUUCAACCUGAUAAAAUGUAACUUUCUGUCAACACAGUAAACUUAUCUUGAUACUUUUUCAUGGGAAACUCCACAAAAUGGCGGCACGGUGGUCGACUGAUUAGCACACCGGUCUCACAGUACAGAAGUUCAGGGUUUGCGUGUUCUCCCCAAUGCCUGCGUGGGUUUUCUCCGGGUACUCCGGUUUCCUCUCACAUUCCAAAAACAUACGUGGCAGGUCAAUAGAACCCAUGUGAUCUUAAGCAGAUUAGAAAAUGGAUCAAUAGCAACACAAAAUGGCCUCUGCCUUAAAGACCCUGCAAAGUGAUUUCAUUCUACUGGCUUGAAGAUAAUUACUGGAAACGUGUAGACUGAGAACUAUGUCGUACUCAGUUGAGGAGAUCAGUUUAGCACAUUUUCAGUUUUCUUGAUAUAAUUUAUUUAUUUAUUUAAGCUUGGCUAAAAGCGGCAGUUACUGUAGCUAGCUCGCGAUGCUUACACCCUGAGAAUACGUAUUUCUUGAAGAUAGUGUGGCUGCUUUAGAGCGCCUCGUUGUAAACCGUGAGUCCACACACGUCAGACACCCAAGGAAAGCUGGAAGAACAACAGGAGUGCGGUGGGGGUUAUUUUAUUUUCUUUUUAAAAAAAAACAACAACUUGAUAGCCACCAUGUGGACUGGGGCUUUGGACUGGUGUAUGGAUGCUUUAGAGAGUGCCUUGUUGUCAGCCAUGAGCAAAUGCAUGUCACAGAGAGAAAGAUGGAAGAGCGAGGAGGUGGGGGGGAUUUUAUUUUAUUUUUUUUGUCUUCCAAAGCCCGACUUGACAGCCAAUUUUUGGCCAGGGACUUCACACUGGCAAGGCUGCGUAAGAGUGCCUUGCUAUUGUGCGACGGGAAAGCCCCGUGACAACCUGGAAUAAAUCUACUGUAUUCCAGCCACCUGAGUCUUUCGUAAUAUUUCUAAUGUGCAGUGCUACCUUGACUACCAAGUUCAAAAUACUAGAAGUACUGCAGACUUUGGAUUUGAAAAGGUUGGGUGUGGAUGGUGGUAUGCAAGGUGAGCAAAGAUCGCGUUGGGUCUUAACAAUGACUGUUACUCCUUGCGAGCCGCGACCGUUUCUACUCUUCCAAUAGACUUUGGAGGGUUUCAAGUGCCUGAAUGAAGCAGCCAUCUUUCGCCGGAUUCCUUUUGUUCUCAAGCCGUGACCUCAUCAGCUGCCGCCACCUUCCUUCUUGCAGAGACGCCUCCUCAGCUGCCAGCUAAUUUGCGGGGGUCGCGUGCGAUAUGAAAAUGUUGGGCCACAUGGACAGGGAUGUGCGGGCCAAAUGCUGUCGCUUUCAUUCUUCGCCGUCACCCAGCCCGGUGCCGCCUUUUCAAGCCGCACACACUCAAACGUCGCAGAUGCUACAGCAGAAAACAAGGAUGGUUGACGCCAAGCGGACAAGAAUAAUACCCGCAACUUUCCUUGUGGGACGGCAAGUCAGCUUCUGAUGUCGUUACCGGCACGGCAACCCUGACGGCAAUAAAACAACCAGCAUUAGUUCUGAAAACAAAAAGAUGGAUUUCACCUGGAGGGGUAAAUAAUGCCGGAGAACCAGUUGAUAGUGAUAUGUAAGUCUUUUUGGGGUUGGUUUUUUUUUUUGCAAUUGCAUGUCUGUCCGACUUUCCUAUCUUUGGGUGAGUUUGUCUUAUCACUCAAAUUCAGGACGGGACCUUUGCUACACGUUGGCUUUACUUUCCCCACCCACCGCUCCCCACCACGCGGCAUCCAUUUUGAAAGACAGGGUCGGGACUUGGGAAUGUCAUGCCGCGAGAUUAAAAUUGGCCACCGGCGUGCUCUGAAGAGACAAGCCGUCUAAUUCUUCGCAGCCGCAGCAGUCCUCAAAAGUUACCGAUAAAGACGGUUAGGUACAGUGGAAAGACCUUAUUUUUAGGUUUACAGAAUAAGGGUUUCAAUUUUUUACAACAAAAAUAUCUUAAAUAGUUGAAUGCAUCCAAGAAUAUAAAUAAUUCAGCUUUUCCAUGCCCAACCAAACAUCUGUUUUUAUUAAAUUCACUGAUCAAGGAAAAGCCUGUUGUCAAAAAAACACACAGGGCAAAGAAAGAACCCUUGGGGUACACCAAAAUGUAUUUUACCUUUUGUCUUCUUUCUUUCCUUAUGCGUAGCUGAUACGUCUUGGCUUUGUACCGAAUGCAGAGUUCCAAGGUUUAAGAUCUACUGUGAUUGGUUGCUGGAGAGGAGUCGCUUUGCUUCCCAAACUCUUGAGCAAGGUACUAACACGUCAUCUGUUUUAAUUCUUCAAACUCCGGGGUAGAGCCAAAACUGAACAUAUCUGGAGGCAAUUGUAAGGGCCGAAGUAUCUCGCCGACUGCACGCUCCAUGUUAGCCUUUGUAAGUAGUCUGAGAUCGAUACGUGACGGUACAUGCUAUGGCAGACACCAUCCCAUCACCUCCACACCCCGUCAUAGGGAAACAUCAGUCAGCUCUGAAAGGUUUUCCGCUCGGGCCUUGGACGCAUUCCAGGAUAAGAUACACUUUGCAACACGUUUUCCAUUUCCCCCCUUUGGCCUACUUCCAAAUCUUAAUGUAUUGCCUGGAAGUUGUAACGAAAGAAUCACGAUCUGUUUGGGUUUCAGAUAGACUGGAGGUGAGCAUGUGACGUUCUCUAGUGUACCGUAUACUGUAUAUGAUAACCCUUUUAUGAACAAGACAGUCCAGUACACCAAAACAACAAACAAUCAAAGUAGUUCAUCCUUACGUUCAACAUGAACAAUAAUCCAUCACUUGUGAAUUUGGAACGUCUCCCAAAGAUCAGAACUAAGAAGGAGAGAAGAACAUUGACUGCCCAAUAACAGAACAUACUGAAGUUGAGGAGAAUUGUUUUGGGAGACCUGAGUCUGGGCAGACAUGAUGAAUGCACUAGAAAGUGUUUCCAAUUCAGCCUGUGCUUCCCAGAGCGGGUUUGAUUGGCUUGUUGUGUGUCCUUUCCGACAAUCGUUGGCGGCUAAAAGGUUGCGGGGGCCAUUAAAAGUCAGCUAAUGGUCUCCAUGAAGUCACCCUUUUGUGGUUAUUGACAAUUUGAGGGUGUUUUCCAAAAGGUGGCCGAAUUUAAAGACUCGAUGAUAAAAUGGAUCUUUACACAACAUUACCCUGGUGCAUGCAAAAUAGCUACUUGAUACUUUUUAACGCUCGAGUUAUGUUCCAGAAACAUUCCCGCGGUAGACGAACAUCUGCGACCAUAUAUUCAUUGUGUUGUGCAUAAUACAAAUACAAAAGAUGCACGUGAGAUGUAAGUAUAUUAUUUUUUUAUCCACUUGGGUAGCUAUAGAAAAAUGAUCACCACAAUAUAGCGACAAAAUCUGGGAUAUAAAAUUAGAGAUGGACGAUUUCAAUAUAAUCUGUUAGACCCCAAAGUGAAAUGUGACAUGGCAAAGGACAAUUUCAUUUUCUUGCAACAAGAGUUUCGGGGGACCUUAAUGGUUCCCCUGUUGAGUCCAAUUGGAGGCAAAAUCGGGAACACACAAAAGGGAUUUCAAC